GCUUCCAGAGCAAGUGCUGCUUCUUUCUGAGCUGUCUCCCCAGCCCAAUGCUUCACUUGUCAAUGUGUUUGUUGUUGAGGCAAGAGAGUGAGGAUUUCUUUGGAUUGAUUUCUGGAAAGGAAGAAGAAGAAGAAGAAGAGUACCUACUGUUCCGGAGCCAGUGGCUGGACCCUACUUGAGAGAUACAAUGAGAGAAUGCUGACUGAUACAGGAACUAUCAGUGUAGUAGGAGGAAAAGUAUUCUUCCUACAUGGCUAUUGGAAGUUCAUAUUGUGGGGCAGUGGACCACGGCACCAGACAGAAAACCUGCUCCUGUAGCCAGAAUGUCCUUCAACUCACUGAUGUCCUGCCUCAUCCUACUGAGUUCUGGAAUUACAGACGCGUUCUCACGACCGGCCAGGAAAGACGCAACAGA